UUAAGCGACUAAGCGUACACGGUGGAUGCCCUGGCAGUCAGAGGCGAUGAAGGACGUGCUAAUCUGCGAUAAGCGUCGGUAAGGUGAUAUGAACCGUUAUAACCGGCGAUUUCCGAAUGGGGAAACCCAGUGUGUUUCGACACACUAUCAUUAACUGAAUCCAUAGGUUAAUGAGGCGAACCGGGGGAACUGAAACAUCUAAGUACCCCGAGGAAAAGAAAUCAACCGAGAUUCCCCCAGUAGCGGCGAGCGAACGGGGAGCAGCCCAGAGCCUGAAUCAGUGUGUGUGUUAGUGGAAGCGUCUGGAAAGGCGCGCGAUACAGGGUGACAGCCCCGUACACAAAAAUGCACAUGCUGUGAGCUCGAUGAGUAGGGCGGGACACGUGGUAUCCUGUCUGAAUAUGGGGGGACCAUCCUCCAAGGCUAAAUACUCCUGACUGACCGAUAGUGAACCAGUACCGUGAGGGAAAGGCGAAAAGAACCCCGGCGAGGGGAGUGAAAAAGAACCUGAAACCGUGUACGUACAAGCAGUGGGAGCACGCUUAGGCGUGUGACUGCGUACCUUUUGUAUAAUGGGUCAGCGACUUAUAUUCUGUAGCAAGGUUAACCGAAUAGGGGAGCCGAAGGGAAACCGAGUCUUAACUGGGCGUUAAGUUGCAGGGUAUAGACCCGAAACCCGGUGAUCUAGCCAUGGGCAGGUUGAAGGUUGGGUAACACUAACUGGAGGACCGAACCGACUAAUGUUGAAAAAUUAGCGGAUGACUUGUGGCUGGGGGUGAAAGGCCAAUCAAACCGGGAGAUAGCUGGUUCUCCCCGAAAGCUAUUUAGGUAGCGCCUCGUGAAUUCAUCUCCGGGGGUAGAGCACUGUUUCGGCAAGGGGGUCAUCCCGACUUACCAACCCGAUGCAAACUGCGAAUACCGGAGAAUGUUAUCACGGGAGACACACGGCGGGUGCUAACGUCCGUCGUGAAGAGGGAAACAACCCAGACCGCCAGCUAAGGUCCCAAAGUCAUGGUUAAGUGGGAAACGAUGUGGGAAGGCCCAGACAGCCAGGAUGUUGGCUUAGAAGCAGCCAUCAUUUAAAGAAAGCGUAAUAGCUCACUGGUCGAGUCGGCCUGCGCGGAAGAUGUAACGGGGCUAAACCAUGCACCGAAGCUGCGGCAGCGACGCUGAUGCGUUGUUGGGUAGGGGAGCGUUCUGUAAGCCUGCGAAGGUGUGCUGUGAGGCAUGCUGGAGGUAUCAGAAGUGCGAAUGCUGACAUAAGUAACGAUAAAGCGGGUGAAAAGCCCGCUCGCCGGAAGACCAAGGGUUCCUGUCCAACGUUAAUCGGGGCAGGGUGAGUCGACCCCUAAGGCGAGGCCGAAAGGCGUAGUCGAUGGGAAACAGGUUAAUAUUCCUGUACUUGGUGUUACUGCGAAGGGGGGACGGAGAAGGCUAUGUUGGCCGGGCGACGGUUGUCCCGGUUUAAGCGUGUAGGCUGGUUUUCCAGGCAAAUCCGGAAAAUCAAGGCUGAGGCGUGAUGACGAGGCACUACGGUGCUGAAGCAACAAAUGCCCUGCUUCCAGGAAAAGCCUCUAAGCAUCAGGUAACAUCAAAUCGUACCCCAAACCGACACAGGUGGUCAGGUAGAGAAUACCAAGGCGCUUGAGAGAACUCGGGUGAAGGAACUAGGCAAAAUGGUGCCGUAACUUCGGGAGAAGGCACGCUGAUAUGUAGGUGAAGCGACUUGCUCGUGGAGCUGAAAUCAGUCGAAGAUACCAGCUGGCUGCAACUGUUUAUUAAAAACACAGCACUGUGCAAACACGAAAGUGGACGUAUACGGUGUGACGCCUGCCCGGUGCCGGAAGGUUAAUUGAUGGGGUCAGCGCAAGCGAAGCUCUUGAUCGAAGCCCCGGUAAACGGCGGCCGUAACUAUAACGGUCCUAAGGUAGCGAAAUUCCUUGUCGGGUAAGUUCCGACCUGCACGAAUGGCGUAAUGAUGGCCAGGCUGUCUCCACCCGAGACUCAGUGAAAUUGAACUCGCUGUGAAGAUGCAGUGUACCCGCGGCAAGACGGAAAGACCCCGUGAACCUUUACUAUAGCUUGACACUGAACAUUGAGCCUUGAUGUGUAGGAUAGGUGGGAGGCUUGGAAGUGUGGACGCCAGUCUGCAUGGAGCCGACCUUGAAAUACCACCCUUUAAUGUUUGAUGUUCUAACGUGGACCCGUAAUCCGGGUUGCGGACAGUGUCUGGUGGAUAGUUUGACUGGGGCGGUCUCCUCCUAAAGAGUAACGGAGGAGCACGAAGGUUGGCUAAUCCUGGUCGGACAUCAGGAGGUUAGUGCAAUGGCAUAAGCCAGCUUGACUGCGAGCGUGACGGCGCGAGCAGGUGCGAAAGCAGGUCAUAGUGAUCCGGUGGUUCUGAAUGGAAGGGCCAUCGCUCAACGGAUAAAAGGUACUCCGGGGAUAACAGGCUGAUACCGCCCAAGAGUUCAUAUCGACGGCGGUGUUUGGCACCUCGAUGUCGGCUCAUCACAUCCUGGGGCUGAAGUAGGUCCCAAGGGUAUGGCUGUUCGCCAUUUAAAGUGGUACGCGAGCUGGGUUUAGAACGUCGUGAGACAGUUCGGUCCCUAUCUGCCGUGGGCGCUGGAGAACUGAGGGGGGCUGCUCCUAGUACGAGAGGACCGGAGUGGACGCAUCACUGGUGUUCGGGUUGUCAUGCCAAUGGCACUGCCCGGUAGCUAAAUGCGGAAGAGAUAAGUGCUGAAAGCAUCUAAGCACGAAACUUGCCCCGAGAUGAGUUCUCCCUGACUCCUUGAGAGUCCUGAAGGAACGUUGAAGACGACGACGUUGAUAGGCCGGGUGUGUAAGCGCAGCGAUGCGUUGAGCUAACCGGUACUAAUGAACCGUGAGGCUUAACCUU
rnacentral:rRNA from 1 species